CCUCCCAAAGUGCUGGGAUUACAGGCGUGAGCCACCGUGCUCGGCUACAAACAGAACUACUUUUGAGCAGCGCAGCAAACCUUCCAGAUGCAUGAUUUCCAUGUAAAAAGAAGCGAAUAAUGAUGGGACCACUAUGAAGAAAGCUUCUGAGGACAAAGGCAGCUGGGGAGAUCCCAAGAGGAGACCAAAUAAGGAAAAAUGCAGUUGGCUAGAGAAAUCGGUGAGAAUCAAGACUCUAUGGGUUGAAACCUGGCUCUACUUACUGGCUAUAUAAACUUCAAGCAACUUGUUUAACCUCAGUUUCCUUCGUAAAAUAGGGAUCAUAAUAGCACCUAUCUUACAGGCCUAUUGUGGGGAUAAAGCAUAACACACAUCAAAUACUUAGCUGGCUUCCCUUUGAGUUCUGUUUCCUCUACUGAGGGACAUUAGACACCACCCAUAAAGGAUGGAAGAUGACUUUUUUCCUUUCCUUAAUUUUUGAUGGAGAUUUCAAUCUAGAAGAACCACCCCUAGAUAAAAAAGUUCUAUACACAUCUGUAUUUCAAAAACAUUUUGGCGAGGCACAGUGGCUCAUGCCUGUAA
rnacentral:lncRNA from 10 species